AUUGAACGCUGGCGGCAGGCUUAACACAUGCAAGUCGAACGAUGACUCUCUAGCUUGCUAGAGAUGAUUAGUGGCGGACGGGUGAGUAACAUUUAGGAAUCUACCUAGUAGUGGGGGAUAGCCCGGGGAAACUCGAAUUAAUACCGCAUACGACCUACGGGUGAAAGGGGGCGCAAGCUCUUGCUAUUAGAUGAGCCUAAAUCAGAUUAGCUAGUUGGUGGGGUAAAGGCCCACCAAGGCGACGAUCUGUAACUGGUCUGAGAGGAUGAUCAGUCACACCGGAACUGAGACACGGUCCGGACUCCUACGGGAGGCAGCAGUGGGGAAUAUUGGACAAUGGGGGCAACCCUGAUCCAGCCAUGCCGCGUGUGUGAAGAAGGCCUUGUGGUUGUAAAGCACUUUAAGCAGGGAGGAGAGGCUGAUGGAUAAUACCCAGUAGAUUAGACGUUACCUGCAGAAUAAGCACCGGCUAACUCUGUG
rnacentral:rRNA from 1 species